rnacentral:rRNA from 1 species
UACGAAGGGUGCAAGCGUUAAUCGGAAUUACUGGGCGUAAAGGGUGCGUAGGCGGUUUGUUAAGUCUGUUGUGAAAUCCCCGGGCUCAACCUGGGAAUGGCAAUGGAUACUGGCAAGCUAGAGUGUGUCAGAGGAUGGUGGAAUUCCCGGUGUAGCGGUGAAAUGCGUAGAGAUGAGGAGGAACACCAGUGGCGAAGGCGGCCACCUGGACAGUAACUGACGCUGAGGCGCGAAAGCGUGGGUAGCAAACAGG